rnacentral:rRNA from 1 species
GGAAUUUUGCGCAAUGGGCGCAAGCCUGACGCAGCAACGCCGCGUGGAGGAAGAAGGCCCUCGGGUCGUAAACUCCUGUCCUUGGGGAAGAUGGUGACGGUACCCUUGGAGGAAGCCCCGGCUACAUCCGUGCCAGCAGCCGCGGUAAUACGGGGGGGGCGAGCGUUGUUCGGCUGUACUGGGCGUAAAGGGCGCGUCGGCGGUCUCAGAAGUUCUGGGUGAAAGCCCCCGGCUCAACCGGGGAAGUGCCUGGAAAACCAUGGGACUGGAGUGCUGGAGAGGCGAGCGGAAUUUCUGGUGUAGCGGUGAAAUGCGUAGAUAUCAGAAGGAACAUCUGAGGCGAAGGCGGCUUGCUGGACAGACACUGACGCUGAGGCGCGAAAGCUAGGGGAGCAAAC